rnacentral:lncRNA from 1 species
AAGAUCACAUUUUGAAGGUAAAUCAAGUAAGUCAUCCUGGGAUACAUUAGGCAAGGAGAUAAAUAAUGUCCAAUACUCUCAAAAUAAAAGAUCGGCUGAUCAAAUAUGCAAAAAGUGAUCAUUGGUUAUAUACCAAUCCAUACUGGUAUGAUAGGAAGAUAGCCAAUCCAUACCAAGUAUAAUAACAAAACUCCAUAUCUCUAGGAGAACUAAAUCAGCAAAAAGUUCAAGUUCUCCAAUGAGAAUCAGACAAGAGGACCAGAUUCAAGUUCGUUCUCAAAAAAAAAUCUCCAAUGAUCGUAUUUACAUAUAGCACAUAAUGUAGUGGUCUAGGUUGAAUACCCUAGAGAUUUGGAACAUAUUCCGAAUCAAAUCAUAGAUGGGACCCAUGGUCAAACAAAUAUUUGCAUUCUUUCAUAAACAUGCAUAAUACCUUUGACCACUAAUUCAUAAGUUUCAGAAUCAUAUUCAGUGAUAGCAUACACUUUGACAUGGGCUGAUGAUUUAUGAGGCAGUGACUCUUUCUUAUUGUUCAAAGGGCAGUCUUUUAUUUUAUGAUCCAACUUUCUACAAGCAAAAUAGACUCCAAUCACCCGAAACACAAAUUUAUUUCAUAAUUUAACUUAUAAUUCACACAUGAUUGAGUCUUUUGUGAUGACUUCCCAUUUCAAAUCCAAAGGUCUUGACCCUCUUGUUAUUACUUUCUGAUUCAUUUCCAAUCAUAUUUUUAUUGCUAAACUUAUCCUUAUCAUUCUUGCCACAUAUCUCCAAAAAUUCUUUUCAUUGUUGCCAAUAAUAAUCAGCCUCUACUUCCAAUAUAAGGUAGCAAAAGAAAUCUUUCGAUCAUCAGAACAAUUUCGUACGUCAAAUAUCUUCUCCGUUUGCAUCAUUCAUUUUUCUACCACCAAUGAAAUUAGGUUCAUCAUGCUUCU